UUUUAUUAGAAAUUAUUAAUAAUAAGAUCUGCUCAAUGAUAUUAAAUAGCCGCUUUUGUGCUAAGGUAGCAUAAUCAUUUGUCUUUUAAAUGAAGACCAGAACAAAAGAUUUAACAUUUUAAUAAAUAUACUUCAUUAAAAAAAUUCAAAUUAUCUUAAAAGUAAAAAGACUUUUAUAAAUUAGAAAGACGACAAGACCCUAUUGAACUUAACUAUUGUUAAGCUGGGGAAGUUAAUAAAUUAUAAUUUUUAUAAACUUUGAAUAAAAAUUUGAUCUAAUAUUAUUAAUUUAAUGAUUAAGUUACCAUAGGGAUAACAGCGUAAUAUAAUUUUAAAGCUCUUAUAUUAAAUUAUGAUUACGACCUCGAUGUUGAAUUAAUAACCUAAUUUAAAGCAAAAAUUAAAAAAGGAAGUCUGUUCGACUUUUAAAAAAUUACAUGA
rnacentral:rRNA from 1 species